rnacentral:rRNA from 1 species
ACGAUGCGUAGCCGACCUGAGAGGGUGGACGGCCACACUGGGACUGAGAUACGGCCCAGACUCCUACGGGAGGCAGCAGUGGGGAAUAUUGGGCAAUGGGCGCAAGCCUUACCCAGCAAUACCGCGUGAGUGAAGAAGGUCUUCGGAUUGUAAAGCUCUUUGAUCAGGGACGAACAGAUGACGGUACCUGAAGAACAAGCCCCGGCUAACUACGUGCCAGCAGCCGCGGUAAAACGUAGGGGGCGAGCGUUGUCCGGAAUGACUGGGCGUAAAGGGUGCGUAGGCGGCAUAAUAAGUUAGAAGUGAAAUACCCAGAGCUUAACUCGGGUGCUGCUUCUAAGACUGUUGAGCUUGAGUGCGGGAGAGGUUAAUGGAAUUCCUAGUGUAGCGGUGGAAUGCGUAGAUAUUAGGAGGAACACCAGAGGCGAAGGCGAUUAACUGGACCGUAACUGACGCUGAGGCACGAAAGUGUGGGUAGCAAACAGGAUUAGAUACCCUGGUAGUCCACACUGUAAACGAUGGAUACUAGAGGCAGGAGGUAUCGACUCCUUCUGCAUCGC